GGCUGGUGGGCCGUGCCAAGAUGGCGGCCGGGCGGGGGCCGGGGUCUGGACCGAACCGGAGCGGCGGGGCUGGGGGUCCCGCGCACCUCGCCCUCUUCUUCUCGGCCCUGGAAGAGGCGGGCAGCUCCGGCUGCAGCUGCGCGACGAGCCCAGCAGCCACAGCGCGGCAGCCGAUGGAUGCUUGUGGAGAAGGGAAGCUGCCAGGGAUGAGAAGAUCACUGCUGAAGCAGGGCACACUGCAAACAUGACGUGCUCUUUCAUGCUUGGAGCUGGAUAAAUCUCCCUGCCUCAGCAGGUGGAAAGUGAAAGCCAGGCCUGAAGCAAUUCUGGUGGUUAAUCCCCAGGCCAUGCUCCCCACUUCUCAAAAGCUCAUGGCACUUCUGGGCUUUGCUCUCUUGGUUUUGGUGAUCUCAGUACCACAUUUUACACUGAAAUGUGGCCGAGGAGCCCUGAGUCAGCUCAGAAUCCUGCUCAAGUCCAAGAGCCCUGGGACAGCUCAAAACCCUGCUCCAUGUUCACUGCUGGCAUUUCUUGUGUGGAUGGAUUGGUUUUACUUGAUGCCUUGUGUUCAAAUGCCAUUCCUUACUCCUGCUCUUGCUGAGGACACUCAGUGGGUUGGGGCUGGGCCCUGCUUGGAGCAGAGAAGGAUGGGAUUGCAAGGAGCUUCCCUCCAAACUGGGAAAACACAAGGACCCUGAUGAGACAGGCAGUGAGACUGUGCCCAGUGCCUGGCAGUCUGCCUUUGUCACAGCUCCAGGGGCACAGCCUGCUCCUGCAGCCCCUCCCUCUCUGCCUGUCCCCUGGGAUCUGUAUUUCUUGAAAAUAAAUGGAAUUUCACCCUCCCAAAGUUUCCUUCAAAGUGACAGAGGAAAAGCUUAAUAAAAAUUCCAAGAUCACA